GAAAAGGAAGGCAGCCACUUUGGCCUGAAGAACUAUAUACAUUUUGAAAAAAUGGAUUUGCUGCCUACAGGAACAGAAAGUAGAAUAGUCAUGGCUUCAGAGGAAGAAAGUAAAAACAAAGUUCUUGCGACAGUGGCUACGGCUAACACUUCUGCCGCUUCUAACAGAGAGGAUGUCCAGAAGGUUCAAGAAAACCAAAUGAUUGAAACCUUAACUUCUCACAUCAAAGAGAUUCUUCUGUACUUUUUACCUGAAUGUAAUAUAUCAAGAGAACAACUUGCAUCCAUCUCUCCUGAAGGUAUUUUAUCCAUGUUCAAGCUGAAAGACCUUUCUGAUCAGAAUAAGGCUGUCCCUCUGUACAUGGACCAGUAUUUUUCACAGUACGAAGUACAAGUUAAAGAAAAAAUCCAGUCUGUAAAGCGAUAUGGUCUUCACACUGUAUGCACCAUUGAAACAGAGGCCGGCCUUUGUGAAGGACGAUUAAAGCUGGCACAAGAAAAACUUGAGUGCCUUCGGGGGAAAAUAGCAAAAGUGCUCUUGAAAGUCCAUCCGCAUCUUUCUAUCACUAGCCUGGAAGACGUUGAUAGCAUCCUAGAAGAGACUUUGAAAGAAGACAACCUGAAGUGUGUCCUGUAAACACCAUCAGUACAAAAUCAUGUGUGCCUGUCUUACCAGAUGACAAAAUGUGGAAGACCUUUGUAUUCAGUAGUAAUUAAUCACAAUUGGCAAAGCCCUACCUCCAUUCUCUUUCAGAAAUGCAUAUGCUAUGCUGUAGCUUGUGGAAGAGUGGCUGUAAAUGGAACANCCCCAAAAAUGUUUUUAUUUAUUUUAUUUUAAUAAUACUAGAUCUAGGCUGCUGCUGUGAAGCAUCGCUUUAUUUUCGUGUUCUACACAAAUUCCACUGAACUGCACAGUCACAGUAUCUCUGAAGUGCUUGUUCAAACUUUUAUUUUCCUUCAUAAAUAAAGUUAUGGU
rnacentral:lncRNA from 1 species